CAUGAAGCAAGGAAUUGAGGAGCUUGAAGCAACAAUAAAUUCCAACUUCUACUACAGCGACGACUUUCACAGUGAGGACCUGGAGGAAAAUUAGGAUAGUGAAGCAUUAAAGCAGCAAGACAAAAGCUAAGAAGAGAAGAAGUCGAGCUAGCGGCUGGGAAAUGGAGAAGGGUACAAUACCUUGCACGUCUCUGCUGACGGUUGUGGCUGAUCUAUGUAGUUUAUUUGUCAUUAUGGGUGAACUGAUGAUACCCGAAACUACCCUAUGCUACUUCCUGUUGCUAUUUUAGACCGGUGAUACUGGUGUAUAUGUAUGAGUGAUGGUUGUC